UAUAUGUAUACACAUAUGAAAUCUAAAAUUCAGCAAGUAUAGAACAUAUCUAAUUUAUAUUUAGAUUAUAUCUAAAUAUUAAUUGAAUUUAAAACUUCAUAUCUGAGUAUGGAUAGCAGAUCACUGCAUCUAAAAUUUAUGAUAGAUGAUUCUUCAUGAUGUUUGGCAGCCGCACACGCGUUCGACCUCGACGGGUAUCCACAUGAUUCCCUUGUGC
rnacentral:lncRNA from 1 species